CUUGCUAGAUGGACAGAAUGUACUGUACUAAUUGUAUUAUUGGUAGGUAGGGAGGAUCAAGGUACUUUAUAAUUGGUAGGUUGGUAGGGAGGAUGUAGUUACUGCAUUCCUGGUAGGUAGGAUAUAUUUACUGCAUUAUUGGUAGUUCAGACAUAGUUACUGUAUUGCUGGUAGGUAGGAUGUAGUUUAUUACUGGGAAAUAGGGAGAACAUAGUUGCUUUAUUACUGGUAGGUAGGCAGGAUGUAGUAACUUUAUUACUGGUAGGUAGGGAGGAUGUAGUUACUUUAUUUUUGGUAGGUAGGCAUGAUGUAGUUACUUUAUUACUGGUAGGUAGGCAGGAUGUAGUUACUUUAUUACUGGUAGACAGGGAGGAUGUACUUGUUACUGUAUUACUGGUAGGUAGGGAGGAUGUAGUUACUGUAUUACUGGUAGGUAGGAAGGAUGUUGUUACUUUAUUACUGGUAGACAGGGAGGAUGUAGUUACUUUAUUACUGGUAGGUAGGCAGGAUGUAGUUACUUUUACUGGUAGGUAGGCAGGAUGAAGUUACUUUAUUACUGGUAGACAGGGAGGAUGUAGUUACUUUAUUACUGGUGGACAGGGAAGAUGUAGUCACUUUAUCACUGGUGGACAGGGAAGAUGUAGUUACUUUAUUACUGGUAGACAGGGAGGAUGUAGUUACAUUAUUACUGGUAGGUAGGCAGGAUGUAGUUACUUUAUUACUGGUAGACAGGGAGGAUGUACUAGUUACUGUAUUACUGAUGGUGUCAGGAGUGAGGAUGACUGGAGUUUGUCGGUGUUGUAGGGAGACUGACACUAUUAACUAAUAAUAGUGCUUACUGGCCUCUUACUGUCUACUCUAUGCAGGGAACAUGGUCUCCAGACCAGUCUUCUGGGUUGUUGUUUUAACCAGGGUGCAUGACUGAGAUAUGUAGUUUAUUGGUGAGAUUUGUUUUGUGUUUUGUUUUUCAAUUGCUUACAAACUAUAAUCAAAACUUUACCAUAAUAAGAAAAACCUGACACUCAAGGAGCAGAACACCGGCCUAUAUUUGCACAAUUGUAAGCAGAUUGUCAGCUUCACACUUUUUGCAUAACAUUACAGUGAUUACACAAACUAAACACACUUGUAUGCAUUUGACACAGAAAUGUAUCAUGAUGUCAUUUCCUUGCAAUUUCAAAGCAAAGGCUUUCAAAUGAACACACCCAUUAACCAAUUGGUUAAACACAGCCACCAGGUGUGCACACACACUGGUGCUUAAUUGUAGACACACCAAUCAGGUUUAAGCACCAUAAAAAGGCAACAGGUAAGUUCACCUGUCUUCAAAUAUAAUGGAUGGUGUCAGAGGAAGAGGGAGAGUGCGGAUGAGAGGGGUAAUCCGGAGAGAACAAGGUGGAGAAAGAGGCCAAGGUAGAGGAAGAGGAAGAAGAAAAGGGAGAGGGAGAGGAAGACCUGGAAUAGUGGUAGGACAUGCAAAAAGAAGAAGACAACCAAAUCUGUGCAACGAAAUUUGUGCUACAAUUGUGGUCAAUGUAAUAAACCAUGGACUAACACUGAGGGAGGCUGGACUGAGAGUACAGCCUAACCUAAGCAGGUACUCAGAGGCAUCAAUACUUCAGACAUUUCGUCAAGAGCACAGGAUUGAACGUCGAGAACACCAAGGAGGGAGGGGCCCCAUAUUCACACGGGAGCAAGAGAGAGAGUUCAUACAUUUUGAGAGUUUUGCAAAUAGACGCGGAGGAAGUCCCACAUGAGUUUAUAUACAUUGAUGAUGCUGGAUUUAGCCUGACAACAGUGAGAAGAAACUUAUGUUGGCCACAGGGCUAUUGUCAAUGUACCUGGGCAACCUGGGGGUAACAUUACCCUUUGUUCUGUCAUUACACAGAACGGGGUCCUCCACCGCCAUGCCAACUUGGGUCCUUACAACACUGACCUCAUUCUUAAAUUUUUAGACAGAUUACACAAUAUUACCACAGCAGGAAACCAAAGGGACCAGAUGCAAUACAUUGUCGUCUGGGACAAUGUAGCUUUCCAUCGAUCUGCUCUGGUCCAAAACUGGUUUCAUCAACACCCACAAUUUACAGUUCAAUCACUUCCACCAUACUCCCCCUUCCUAAACCCCAUCGAGGAGUUCUUCUCAGCAUGGCAGUAGAAGGUUUAUGAUCUCCGGCCCUAUGUCCAGAUGGCCCUCAUUCAAGCUAUGGAGGAAGCAUGUGAUCAAAUUGAAGCAGCAUCCAUACAAGGGUGGAUUCGUCACUCCAUAAAAUUCUUCCCACGUUGCCUUGCAAAUGAAAAUAUAGCCUGUGAUGUUGACGAGGCCCUGUGGCCAGAUCCAGCCAGGCGGAGAGAUGGUUUUUUUGUUUGUUUUUUCAGUACUGAACUGGAUAUGUAUUUUAUGUUACAGUAUUACUGUAAGCUUACAGUACAAUGGUACGUUGUAAUACUGUAUGAAAACUGGAAAUUGUUGUGUUAUGAAUGUUUGGUGGAAAUGUUCAGUAUUGACUAACUAAAUAAAUAUUUUCAUUAGUCUGCACAAUUGGUGUCAUGGGGUGUUGGUGAAUUUUUUUCCACUUUCUCUGUGUAAAUGCUAAGUGUUUAGGUUGAGCACAGGAGUGUUUGACUGAUU